UACGUAGGGAGCAAGCGUUGUCCGGAAUCAUUGGGCGUAAAGCGCGCGUAGGUGGCCCCAUAAGUCCGCGGUGAAAGUCAAAGGCUCAACCUUUGAAAGCCGGUGGAUACUGUGGGACUAGAGUACGGAAGAGGCGAGUGGAAUUCCUGGUGUAGCGGUGGAAUGCGCAGAUAUCAGGAGGAACACCAAUAGCGAAGGCAGCUCGCUGGGACGUUACUGACACUGAGGCGCGAAAGCGUGGGGAGCGAACAGG
rnacentral:rRNA from 1 species